rnacentral:rRNA from 1 species
UACGUAGACUGCAAGCGUUAUCCGGAUUUACUGGGCGUAAAGCGUGUGUAGGCUUCUUUGUAAGUCGAUGGUGAAAUACUCAGGCUCAACCUGAGAAACGCUAUCGAUACUGCAAAGAUUGAGGGAAAGAGAGGGCAUCGGAACUUUUGAAGUAGCAGUGAGAUGCGUUGAUAUCAAAAGGAACACCAAAGGCGAAGGCAGGUGCCUGGAUUUCUUCUGACGCUGAGACACGAAAGCUAGGGGAGCGAAAGGG